rnacentral:lncRNA from 1 species
AUGUGUCUGUCUAUCCCUGUUCUCUCCUCUCUGCACAGGCCACACAAAUGCCUCACACCGCGUGGCCGCUGCCACUCUAACGUGGUGGUCCCAGCGCGCACGACCCACGUGGAGUUCCAGGUCUCCGGCAGCCUCUGGAACUGCCGGUCUGCGGCCAACAAGGCAGAGUUCAUCUCAGCCUAUGCUACCCUCCAGUCCCUCGACUUCUUGGCGCUGACGGAAACAUGGAUUACCACAGAAAACACUGCUACUCCUACUGCUCUCUCCUCGUCUGACCACGUGUUCUCGCAUACCCCGAGAGCAUCUGGUCAGCGGGGUGGUGGCUCUGGAAUCCUCAUCUCUCCCAAGUGGACAUUCUCUCUUUCUCCCCUGACCCAUCUGUCUAUCUCCUCAUUUGAAUUCCAUGCUGUCACAGUCACUAGCCCAUUCAAGCUUAACAUCCUUAUCAUUUAUCGCCCUCCAGGUUCCCUUGGAGAGUUCAUCAAUGAGCUUGACGCCUUGAUAAGUUCCUUUCCUGAGGAUGGCUCACCCCUCACAGUUCUGAGUGACUUUAACCUCCCUACGACUUUAACCUCCUUUGACUCAUUUCUAUCUGCCUCCUUCUUUCCAGUCCUCUCCUCUUUUGACCUCACCCUCUCACCUUCCCCCCCUACUCACAAGGCAGGCAAUACGCUUGACCUCAUCUUUACUAGAUGCUGUUCUUCUACUAAUCUCACUGCAACUCCCCUCCAAGUCUCCGACCACUACCUUGUAUCCUUUUCCCUCUCGCUCUCCUCCAACACUACACACUCUGCCCCUACUCAGAUGGUAUUGCGCUGUCGCAACCUUCGCUCUCUCUCUCUCCUGCUCCACUCUCCUCUUCCAUCCUAUCAUCUCUUCCCUCUGCUCAAACCUUCUCCAACCAAUCUCCUGAUUCUGCUUCCUCAACCCUCCUCUCCUUCCUUUCUGCAUCCUUUGACUCUCUAUGUCCCCUAUCCUCCCGGCCGGCUUGGUCCUCCCCUCCUGCUCCGUGGCUUGACGACUCAUUGCGAGCUCACAGAACAGGGCUCCGGGCAGCCGAGCGGAAAUGGAGGAAAACUAGCCUCCCUGCGGACCUGGCAUCUUUUCACUCCCUCCUCUCUACAUUUUCUUCCUCUGUUUCUGCUGCUAAAGCCACUUUCUACCACUCUAAAUUCCAAGCAUCUGCCUCUAACCCUAGGAAGCUCUUUGCCACCUUCUCCUCCCUCCUGA